rnacentral:rRNA from 1 species
CACGUAGGGCGCAAGCGUUGUCCGGAAUUAUUGGGCGUAAAGAGCUCGUAGGCGGUCUGUUGCGUCCGCUGUGAAAACCCGGGGCUUAACCCUGGGCUGGCAGUGGAUACGGACAGACUAGAGGUAGGUAGGGGAGAAUGGAAUUCCCGGUGUAGCGGUGAAAUGCGCAGAUAUCAGGAAGAACACCCGUGGCGAAAGCGGCUCUCUGGAACGGUACUGACGCUGAGACGCGAAAGCGUGGGGAGCGAACAGG